AUUGAACGCUGGCGGCAUGCUUUACACAUGCAAGUCGAACGGUAACAGGUUAAGCUGACGAGUGGCGAACGGGUGAGUAAUGCAUCGGAACGUGCCCGAUCGUGGGGGAUAACGCAGCGAAAGCUGCGCUAAUACCGCAUACGAUCUGAGGAUGAAAGCGGGGGACCGUAAGGCCUCGCGCGAUCGGAGCGGCCGAUGUCAGAUUAGGUAGUUGGUGGGGUAAAGGCUCACUAAGCCAACGAUCUGUAGCUGGUCUGAGAGGACGACCAGCCGCACUGGGACUGAAACACGGCCCAGACUCCUACGGGAGGCAGCAGUGGGGAAUUUUGGACAAUGGGCGAAAGCCUGAUCCAGCAAUGCCGCGUGCAGGAAGAAGGCCUUCGGGUUGUAAACUGCUUUUGUACGGAGCGAAAAGGUCUCCUCUAAUACAGGGGGCUCAUGACGGUACCGUAAGAAUAAGCACCGGCUAACUACGUGCCAGCAGCCGCCGUAA
rnacentral:rRNA from 1 species